rnacentral:rRNA from 1 species
UACGUAGGUGGCAAGCGUUGUCCGGAAUUAUUGGGCGUAAAGCGCGCGCAGGCGGUCCUUUAAGUCUGAUGUGAAAGCCCACGGCUCAACCGUGGAGGGUCAUUGGAAACUGGGGGACUUGAGUGCAGGAGAGAAGAGUGGAAUUCCACGUGUAGCGGUGAAAUGCGCAGAUAUCAGGAGGAACACCGGUGGCGAAGGCGGGU